UGAUGGCAGCUCUCAAACGCCUACACAUGACCUUGUGUUCUAUGUAUGUUGAUGAAAGGUGGUCUACAAGGUGUUGGACGAGGUGUGUUUUGACAAUAAGAAUGGACAAUGACAGGUAGUCAAACCAGCGGAUGACACGCUGCUCCAGGGCCUUGCUGACAUGUCUGAAGUGCAUGUAGUGUUUGAGUGCAUCCACACGAGUUUGGAAGACUACUCUUGUGGCGUUCAUGUUGGAGAUCAUCGAC